UACAGAGGUCUCAAGCGUUGUUCGGAUUCAUUGGGCGUAAAGGGUGCGUAGGCGGCGCGGUAAGUCGGAUGUGAAAUCUCGGAGCUUAACUUCGAAACUGCAUUCGAUACUGCCGUGCUUGAGGACUGGAGAGGAGACUGGAAUUUACGGUGUAGCGGUGAAAUGCGUAGAUAUCGUAAGGAAGACCAGUGGCGAAGGCGGGUCUCGUGGACAGUCCUGACGCUGAGGCACGAAGGUCAGGGGAGCAAACGGG
rnacentral:rRNA from 1 species